rnacentral:rRNA from 1 species
UAGCUCAGAUUUGACAAUCUAGCACUUUCAGUGUUCGAGUUGUAAUUUGAAGAAGGUAUCUUUGGAGUUGGCCCCCGUCUAUGUUCCUUGGAACAGGACGUCACAGAGGGUGAGAAUCCCGUGCGAUGGGGAGACCAAUUCUAUGUAAAGUUCCUUCGAAGAGUCGAGUUGUUUGGGAAUGCAGCUCUAAGUGGGUGGUAAAUUCCAUCUAAAGCUAAAUAUUGGCGAGAGACCGAUAGCGAACAAGUACAGUGAUGGAAAGAUGAAAAGAACUUUGAAAAGAGAGUGAAAAAGUACGUGAAAUUGUUGAAAGGGAAGGGCUUUUGAUCAGACUUGGUGUUUAGUACUCUCUACUCCUUGUGGGUGGGGCUCUUGCUUUAUACUGGGCCAGCAUCGGUUUGGAUGGUAGGAUAAUAGCAUUGGAAUGUGGCUUCAUUCGUGAAGUGUUAUAGCCCUUGUUGAUACUACCUAUCUAGACCGAGGACUGCGUCUUUUGACUAGGAUGCUGGCGUAAUGAUUAAAAGCC